AAUGAAAACAAUUUUACAGCUAUUGCAAUUUCGACAGCUUCUUUCUGAAUGUCUUCUUUCAUGUCGGCGCUCUUUAUGAUAACUUUCUUGCCUGCGGCGGUAGACCCAGUUGAGGACUUCCGAUCAUUGGACGACGCCGGCGACGGAGGCACCAGUGCUCCGCCGCCGCUUCUCUUCGACUCUUCGCUCAUUUGCUUUAUUUUCUUGAUUUCUGGUUCAAAAAUUUUAUUUUUUGGAACUUCUGGUGAAGAGAGCGAUGAGAAUAUGUGAGGUAUUUCGAAUUGUAAAGGUUUUUGAAAUUUUAGUUGAAAUUCUAAUGAGAAUCUAUUCCUUUUUGUGUGUGUACUGAUUUGGAAUUGCUGACUGAAUUACUUUGGACGGUUUUGAAAGUUGUCUGAAUACUGUUGUUAGG
rnacentral:lncRNA from 1 species